UGUUAUUUAAAAUAUUGUUCAAUCCAGUCGUGUUGAUUCAUUUCUGAUCUUUAACAUCAGAAAAGCUGUAAUUAAAUGUUCUUUUUGAAAUUUUAGAGACUAACAUUGAAAGGAUUUUUCAAAUGGCCCUGUUUUGUUUAUGAUUUUAGUGUAUGACGUCAGAGUGCACACGCAAUCUCAUGGAAAGGGUUGUCCUUGAUAUUAUUAUGCUGUAAUGUUGUUAAUAUGAAAAUAAAGGCUUUUUUAUUUCCAUACAAAAUGUAUAGUGCAUGUAAAUAUUCCGUAUUGGACAACUCAACAACUUUGGUUUGAAUCUCCAUGUUAUUUAAAUGAUAAAUUUAAAGCUGUUUACCAAUAAAUUUGUCUGCAUGAAAUUCUACAUCAGUUAAUGCUUGACAUGAUAUUUCUGUACACAUUUUUUGUAGAUGAAUUUUUGUCUGUCAGUAUUAUAUUUGCUGUAUUUUUUUACUGCCAGAGAAUUAAGCAUAGAAUAAAAAGAUUAUUUUUCUUUGUCCUGUACAAUAUGGGAUAUAUUUGGACUCCUACAAAUCUGAAAAGAAAUUGAAAAAAAAAAAAAAUUUUUACAGUUAAUACUCAUCCAGGUAUAUCACUGUAUUAUAUAGGUUAAGGUUAUAUUACCUAUUAUUAUUUAAGCAAAUUCAACUUUUAACCCUUAGCUGUGCCUUUUGAUCAGAUACAAUACCAGUUUAUUACUUGUAAAUUUUUUUUGCUGGGAAACUGCAAUUUUGAUUGAUAUUUUGUUGUUGAUUUAGAUCUUUACAUGUACAAGUAACCAUGUUUGUUGUUUUUUUUAUUUUAGUCCAAGUCACAAUCUCAAGUUAGACUACAUAAGGCUGUUUUAGGCUCGUCUUGUUUUACCUUCUUUUAAGAUUUACACUAAAAAGUUUGUUUUGUUUUAUAGUUUAAUUUAUUAUUUUUGCAAACCGUAUACAGUUUACUGUUUAUUUUACUGUUUUAAACUGUUGGUGAUCACCAUGUUGUUUGUCUGCCUGUCUUUCUUUCUGUCUGCCUGCCCAUCAGUUAACAUCUUGGAUAUCUUAAAACUUCAUUUCAGAUAUUAUCAGAAAGCAACGUAGUUGAACAAUAUUUAGGAAACUCUUGCCAUGUGGCCUAGAUGGCUGAAGCCUGGAUGUAUUCCACUGCUCAGCUAGAGCAUGUAUCAGACCAGAAUCUAUUUCAACACUAAAAAGUAUUUAUCCUACCCAUAUACUAAGGCAUGUUUCUUGUCUGGAUCCGUAACACCAUCAGAUUACUGUAGGGUAUGUCUAAGGCCAGGAUCUAUUCUACCAUCAUAUUAGGUCAUUUUUCAGGCUUCGAUCUAUUCAGACACUUAACUAGUGCAUUUUUCAGGCCUGGUUCUAUUCAUUGUACUAGGUCACUUUUCAAGCCUAGAUCUAUUCAUUGUACUAGGUCAUUUUUCAGGCUUCGAUCUAUUCAAACACUUAACCAGUGCGUUUUUCAGGCCUGGUUCUAUUCAUUGUACUAGGUCACUUUUCAAGCCUAGAUCUAUUCAUUGUACUAGGUCAUUUUUCAGGCUUCGAUCUAUUCAAACACUUAACCAGUGCAUUUUUCAGGCCUGGUUCUAUUCAUUGUACUAGGUCAUUUUUCAGGCCUGGAUCUGUUCAAACACUUAACCAGGGCAUUUUUCAGGCCUGGUUCUAUUCAUUGUACUAGGUCAUUUUUCAGGCCUGGAUCUAUUCAUUGACAAACACUUAACCAGGGCAUUUUUCAGGCCUUGAUCUAUUCAUCAUACUAGGGCAUUUUUCAGGCCUGGAUCUAUUUAGACACUUAGCCUGGGCAUUUUUCAGGCCUGGAUCUAUUCAUUGUUCUAAGUCAUUUUUCAGGCCUGGAUCUAUUCAAACACUUAACCAGGGCAUUUUUCAGGCCUGGAUCUAUUCAUUGUACUAAGUCAUUUUUCAGGCCUGGAUCUAUUCAAACACUUAACCAGGGCAUUUUUCAGGCCUGGAUCUAUUCAUUGUACUAGGUCAUUUUUCAGGCCUGGAUCUAUUCAGACAUCAUACUAAGGCCUGUUUCAGGCCUGGAUCUAUUCAGACACCAUAGUGAUACUAGGACAUUUUUCUGGCCUGAAUCUGUUCCACCAGCAUACUAGGUCAUGUUUCAGGCCUGGAUCUGUUCUUCCACCAUACUAGGGCAAGAUUCAUAAUGGAUCAGGUGAUAAAUCGUUGUAUUGAUUGAAUGAAUAUCUUAAAAUUUAGACCAGAUUUUGUUGUUGCAUGACCAGGUGCCAAAGAAAAUUCUUUACUGCCAUUAUUUCAUGAUGAAUGUGUUAGGAAAAAUGUUUAGCAUUUGAAUGUACAUGUGUAUAUGGCAAAAGGGUCUUUUAUUUUAAAGAUGUUGUAAAUUUAAACUGUAUAUUAAAUGUUGUAAGACAAGUUUACAGUAAGUGGA